GGCCCAAAUUUGAUGUGGAGUAGAUCGGUAGUAUCAGCUGACCCUACUAAUCUACUAUACUUCAAAUUUGGCUCC
rnacentral:pre_miRNA from 1 species